CCUACGGGAGGCUGCAGUCGAGGAUCUUCGGCAAUGGGCGCAAGCCUGACCGAGCGACGCCGCGUGUGCGAUGAAGGCCUUCGGGUUGUAAAGCACUGUCGAGGGGGAGGAAGCCUCGCAAGGGGUUGACCUAUCCCUGGAGGAAGCACGGGCUAAGUUCGUGCCAGCAGCCGCGGUAAGACGAACCGUGCGAACGUUGUUCGGAAUCACUGGGCUUAAAGGGCGCGUAGGCGGGCGACCAAGUCAGGGGUGAAAUCUUUCGGCUCAACCGGAAA
rnacentral:rRNA from 1 species